CCAAACGACCGAUCUCCGAUGGACGAAAAAUGUCGGGACUCUCCACACAUGGUCCGAAAAUCGUACGAAUCCACGAUUCGUACGAUCGGAUCUUUGCGUCUAUGGCCAGCUUUACCCUCAUGUAAAACCCAAACAUUCAUGGGGCUGAAUAGAAAUGUAAAUGUAAACAGCAGUCACACUUGACAAAGAACCGCUGUUCAUUAGGUAAUGUACUUUAUAAUGGGUGACUUGCCCAAGGCUGUUGUCAAUGUGGUUCUAAUGGCACCCACUGAUAACUUAGCCCAAAUCACCUCCACAUAGAAUUGAAAUGAGGUUGCGUGUACCUAGCAAACUAAAACAGGCUUUAAUGGUACUUUAAGUUCAGCACAUGUCCAACAAAACACAGGCCAGUUUCCUUUGCAAUUAAUGUGUUUCUUUGGAAGAUAAUUAUCAAGGAAAGGUAUUGGAUGCAAAAGGGCAGAAGUUAGGGAAGGAGUAAGUCUUUCAGGCAGGAACUGUUGUGCACACAGGACACAUGAGAAGAUAGAGGGACAGGACAGUGACGGAAUUAGGUGGGGGCGGGCCCUGGUGCGGGCCGUGCAACCGUGCCCCGCCCCCCACCCUCAUCCGUGCGGCGCUGCAGCCGACUCCAGCCAGCGUGACUGCCGGGGGGCCCUGGCGCAAUUGCACCCCCUGCUCCCCCGGUAGUUACGCCACUGGGACAGGAUCAGGGUAAUGAAGGCGCAGAGUCAGGGGCAGGCCAAAUAAGGAGGAGGACUGGGGCAGAGCAGUGCAGAUAAAGAGGCAGAAUCAGCAACAGAGUGAAGCAGGAUGGAGUGGGCAAUAAAUCUGUGACUUGGAUGGGGUGGGGACGUAGAGGGCCAAAAACUGUUGGUAGACAGAAGUAAAGCAGAAUGAAGAGUCUGGGACAGAAAAAGAUUGUGCAGGUGUAGAGCCAGGUCAGGAUGGAGUGAGACAAGGAGGACUGGUGCAGGUCAGGAGCAAGAACCAGACCAGGGUAGUACAAGAGUAGGGAAGAGGAACAGGAUAAGAACAGAACUAGAAUCACAGGAGCCAGGGAAAGUGUCUCAGUGCUCAAGUAAGACCAAUGCUCACAGAUGUGAGGAGGGCUUGGCUUUUAUAGGGCAGGGUCAGCCCUGAUUGGCUGACCCCAACCCACCAAUGAGCAUGCUGGGACCCAGAUGAAAAGGAAAUGGCUGCUCUCAACCAGAAGGUUCCUGGAUCAAACCCCAGCAGAGCUUGAUAACAAUUAUGCAUUGAAUUGUCUAAUGCAGAUUUGUUUUUUUUUAAAAAAAUUUGAAUUUAUCAUACACUGGCUCUUUAAGAACUCGAAUUCGACUUUUUGUCACCCUAAACCUGCCGAAUUGCUGUUUUAGCCUAUGGGGGAUGUCCUGGGAUCGGUUUGGAGUUGUUUGCUACCUUUCUGACAUUCGUGUUUUUUUCCCGAGUAGUUUGCUGGUAGAUACCAUUGACCCGAGUUUCAAAAAUUAUAAUUUUUUAAUAAAUUGCAAUUGGAGUUCAUUGGAGUUCUAAAUAACUUACAAUACUUUACCAAACACACGAAAGCGUAUUUAAUUCACAUCAGUGAUGUAACGUUUCUGGGGCGGACCCCUUCGUCAGUCAGUUUCAAAUAACUCCCAUGAACUCGAAAUUCAACCUUUGCUAAAUCUGCCCCUUAGUGUGUAUCUGUAGCAGGAGUGGCCAGGACAUUGAUCGCGGUAUACCAGUAGAUCCCAGUAAUGUUCCUGGUAGACUGUGACCUGCCAGCUGCCUAGACCAGAGAGGAGGGGACAUGGAAGAGACUUGAAGGAUUCUGCUGCCGCUCCCACUGCUGGUGAAGGCCUGUGCAUUCCACAGGGGAUGCACGGUCCCUUAGUAAAGAUGGCCACCUCAACUUCAUGGACUGGAGAUAGUAUAAGAGUAAGUGAGCGGCAGUGGCGGAAAUGCAUGGGGUGCAUCGGCACCAGGUCCUGUGCCCAUACACCCUGAUGGGUCCCACAACCCAGGAGAGGAGUUAAAGUUUGUCCAGACCGUCUGGUACUCCAUGUCACCGGCAGAAAGACCAGUUCCUGCAGACAAGCGUGCACCUCCAUUGACGUCACGCGCAAGGACAGGAGAGAAACAGCAACCCCCAGCCAAAUAGUCCCCCUUCUUUAUCAAGAUCCUUCUCACCUGUGAGCCCAGCAGGGCCCCCCAAGGCUAUCUUCACCCCCAUUAAAGGGGCCCUGGACGGAGCAGAUUUUGCUCUUUUCCUGCUGGCAGAUUUGACUUUCCCACAGCUGGAGAUCCCGGCUCAAAGGUUUGCCCUCCCUGCUCAUGCCUGUGUGGGGCACUAAGUUAUUGUAAGUGGGCACAAAACUCCUUGCACCACAAUGGAUUUUGGGUCAUGUGCUGCACAGCUGGACAGAUGCAUAAAGAGGGGACAGUUCCAUUAGCCAGAGCUGAAGGGGGAAAGUAGAAAGGAACAGGUGUAUUAAUUAAUUUGGCGCUAAGCACUGCGCGCAUCCAAAUGUCAUUUCUCCCAUCUCUCUCUCUCUCUCUCCUGUCUGUCUUCUGUCUCUCAUUCCCUCUCAGUCUUUUUCUUUUGCUCACACUUUUUUUUUUCCUCUCUGGCCGCUGCUGAUGCUAAAUGAAGAAUGGAUGAAAAGGCAGAUAGUGGCAUAAAUAAAUGAGAAAAAUAAACACUAGAGACAGGAACGUUAAUCUUUUAAAUUUAGAUUUUAGAUUUAGAUUUUGGAUGGAAAAAAAAGAUGGAAAGCAAUUGAGCAAUGUCUUUAUUUCUAGUGUAGUACUGUAGUAUUAUAACCAUUUUAUGGGCUUGGGAUACUACGGUAGAUGGCCCACUAUUUUUAUCAUGGUAGAUCUCCUGAUGGGGGCCAGGUGUCGAGGGUAGAUCCCAGGGUAACAAAGUCUAGGCACCCCUGAUCUAUAGGGACUAAAUUGACAUAUUGACUACUUGUGUUGUCUUUGGAAAGUUGCAUCAAGCUGUUUUUUAUUACAAGCAACAUAUUUUUUUAAUUGCAUAUCUUAAUACCAUUGAGAAUGAUGUAAGAUAUUUUGAACACCACUGAAAUCCUCUUUCAAAUAUUCUAGUAAAUCUUGACUGAAUUAUUUAAUGUACAGUUGGAGCAAAUUUUAUUUUUGCAUUACACAAUAAUAAUGGGUGGGUCACACCCAAACCUAACCCACCCUUAAAAAUCUGCAUUCACCCAAGUCCAAAUUCCCCCCUUUGCUUAUUUAAACCCAACCAGCUGUUGACAUUAUGGAGAGGGAGGGGCCCUGUCACAGACAUCAUCAGUUUAAUGAUCAGGGGCAGAACCCAGAGCUAUGGUAGCAGGUCCAGCAGCAGGGCUGCCAUCAGGGGGGGGCACAAGGGAUACAGUCGUACCAGGCCCGGGCCUAAAGGGCUGUGCUGCACUUUUUAAAUCAGCUGGUUCCCCCUUGAUAGAGCCAAAGUGCCAAAGACCCGAAGCUGGGAACGGAGCCGAAGCUGUGGAAAGACCCAAAGCCACGAAAAUACCCAAAGUUAAAGUCCUGGAGCCGCAAAAAGAAACAAAAGAAACCCACGAAGGAAGAAGAACCACAGAGUCUCCGGCAAUUCAGAAGGGUUGACAAGUCCAUCAAUAUCCUUGCCCUUCACAACUACAGAACCCAUACCCGACCUGUAGCCGAAACCUGCAACCCGCAUUCUUACCUGAUUGGACAUGCUACUCGGACCCGCGACCUGCUGACCAUUAAGAAUCAGGAAGUCAUUGUAAACCAGAAGUGACAUAAUCGGAAGUAGGCAUGAUCAAAAAAAAAGGAGUAAAACAGGAAGUGCUGUCAUUGUAAACCGGAAGUGGCAUCAUCGGAAGUAGACCUGAUUAGAAAAAAGGAGGUUUAAAUCACUAUUGAGAAGAACAGCGGCCCAAACCCGCAAACCCGAAGAACCACUGACCCACAUCUAUACCCGGAACUUCUACACGCAGGGUACUGCAGGUUUUUGCAGGUAACCCGCGGGUACCCACGGGUACCCGACCCGCUGCAGGACUCUACACUGUAGUACACUGUUUAGUUUGAGCAUGUUGAUGAAAUGUAAUUCUUUCUUGUUGGUGGAGAAAAUGCAGAGUUAGACGACUCCUUAACUGAAUUUGAGAUUUGGUAUAUCCCUAAUUAAAGCUAAAUUUCAACCAAUAUCUAUGCCACAUAUAUACAGAUAUAUAAAGCUCUUUUUCUAGGAUAAUAAUGUAAAUGAACUAAAACAUACAGAUUUUUCCAAUCAGAGCAGGAAGUCCAAUAAUGGAAACACAUAGCUAUAUUAAAUUAAAAGGCUGAAGUAUUUCAGAAUAAGAAGUGAAAUCUUUUAGAAAUCACUUAGGAACACAGUCACCAUAAAUGGCAUAUUCACAUAAUUCCUCCAGUGUCCCCUAAAUAAACCUUUAUUUGUUUUAACGCUUCAUAAAAAAAAAAAGUUUGGAAUAAAUCGGUAAAAUAAAA